rnacentral:rRNA from 1 species
GAUGAACGCUGGCGGCGUGCCUAAUACAUGCAAGUCGAGCGAACAGAUGAGGAGCUUGCUCCUCUGACGUUAGCGGCGGACGGGUGAGUAACACGUGGAUAACCUACCUAUAAGACUGGGAUAACUUCGGGAAACCGGAGCUAAUACCGGAUAAUAUAUUGAACCGCAUGGUUCAAUAGUGACAGACGGUUUUGCUGUCACUUAUAGAUGGAUCCGCGCCGCAUUAGCUAGUUGGUAAGGUAACGGCUUACCAAGGCAACGAUGCGUAGCCGACCUGAGAGGGUGAUCGGCCACACCUGAACUGUGACACGGUCCAGACUCCUACGGGAGGCAGCAGUAGGGACUCUUCCGCAAUGGGCGAAAGCCUGACGGAGCAACGCCGCGUGAGUGAUGAAGGUCUUCGGAUCGUAAAACUCUGUUAUUAGGGAAAAACAAAUGUGUAAGUAACUAUGCACGUCUUGACGGUACCUAAUCAGAAAGCCACGGCUAACUACGUG